rnacentral:rRNA from 1 species
UAGGGAAUCUUUCGCAAUGGGCGAAAGCCUGACGGAGCAACGCCGCGUGAGUGAAGAAGGAUUUCGGUUCGUAAAGCUCUGUUGUUAGGGAAGAAUGAUUGUAUAGUAACUAUAUACAGUAGAGACGGUACCUAACCAGAAAGCCACGGCUAACUACGUGCCAGCAGCCGCGGUAAUACGUAGGUGGCAAGCGUUGUCCGGAAUUAUUGGGCGUAAAGCGCGCGCAGGUGGUUUAAUAAGUCUGAUGUGAAAGCCCACGGCUCAACCGUGGAGGGUCAUUGGAAACUGUUAAACUUGAGUGCAGGAGAGAAAAGUGGAAUUCCUAGUGUAGCGGUGAAAUGCGUAGAGAUUAGGAGGAACACCAGUGGCGAAGGCGGCUUUUUGGCCUGUAACUGACACUGAGGCGCGAAAGCGUGGGGAGCAAACAGGAUUAGAUACCCUGGUAGUCCACGCCGUAAACGAUGAGUGCUAAGUGUUGGUCUCAUAAGAGAUCAGUGCUGCAGCUAACGCAUUAAGCACUCCGCCUGGGGAGUACGACCGCAAGGUUG